GGUGAACGCUAGCGGUGCGCCUAACACAUGCAAGUCGAACGCGAUUCCCCAUGACCCUUGAAGAGCUUGCUCUGAUUGGUGAUUGGAUUUUGAAUUGAGUGGCGAACGGGUGAGUAACACGUUGGUAUCUGCCCCCAAGUCAGGGAUAGCCAUCCGAAAGGAUGAUUAAUACCGGAUAGUCUCUUCGGAGUAAAGAUUUAUCGCUUGGGGAGGAGCCUGCGUUCUAUCAGCUUGUUGGUAGUGUAAUAGACUACCAAGGCUAUGACGGAUAGCUGGUCUGAGAGGAUGACCAGUCACAAUGGAACUGAGACACGGUCCAUACUCCUACGGGAGGCAGCAGUGAGGAAUCUUCCACAAUGGACGAAAGUCUGAUGGAGCGACACCGCGUGAAGGAUGAAGGUCUAACGAUUGUAAACUUCUUUUCUGAGGGAGCAUAAUGAGAGUACCUCAGGAAUAAGGGACGGCUAAUUACG
rnacentral:rRNA from 1 species